UAUUAUUCAUAAUGAUAAAAA
rnacentral:piRNA from 1 species